AUAGCUCAAAUUUGAAAUCUGGCGAAAGCCCGAGUUGUAAUUUGUAGAGGAUGCUUUUGGCAGAGCCGCGGGUUCAAGUGCCCUGGAAUGGGUUGCCAUCAUAGAGGGUGAGAGUCCCGUAUGUCGGCCCGCGGUAGUAGACGCCAGUCAAAGCUCCUUCGACGAGUCGAGUUGUUUGGGAGUGCAGCUCUAAUUGGGAGGUAAAUUCCUUCUAAAGCUAAAUAUGGGCCAGAGACCGAUAGCGAACAAGUAGAGUGAUCGAAAGAUGAAAAGUACAGUGAAAACUGGGUGAAAUAGUACGUGAAAUUGUUGAAAGGGAAGCGCUUGCAAUCAGACAUUGCAGCAACGGGCUGAACCUUGUGUUCAUAAGUUGCUUGUGGGCUAGCAUCAGUUUGGGUGGUGGUAGAAAGGCGAGGGGAAUGUGGCUCGGGUGGGCUUGCGCCCAGAUCGAGUGUUUAUAGCUCCUCGCGCCAUGCCACCUACCUAGACUGAGGGUUUGCGCGGGGUUUCCCCGCAAGGAUGCUGGCGUAAUGGUUGUAAGCGGCCCGUCUUGAAACACGGACCAAGGAGUCUAACAUCUGCGCGAGUGUUUAGGUGUCAAGCCUAUGCGCGUAAUGAAAGUAAACGUAGGUGGGAAACCAUCGGUCCUCACGGACUGGGGUGGCACCAUCGACCGAUCCGGAUGUUUUCGGAUGGAUUUGAGUAAGAGCGCAGCUGUUGGGACCCGAAAGAUGGUGAACUAUGCCUGUGUAGGCUGAAGUCAGAGGAAACUCUGAUGGAAGGUCGCAGCGGUUCUGACGUGCAAAUCGAUCGUCAAACAUGGGUAUAGGGGCGAAAGACUAAUCGAACCAUCUAGUAGCUGGUUCACGCCGAAGUUUCCCUCAGGAUAGCAGUGACGACAUCAGUUUUAUGAGGUAAAGCGAAUGAUUAGAGGCCUUGGGGUUGAAACAACCUUAACCUAUUCUCAAACUUUAAAUAUGUAAGAAGCCCCUUGUUACCUUAUUGAACGUGGGCAUUCGAAUGAAACGUCACUAGUGGGCCAUUUUUGGUAAGCAGAACUGGCGAUGCGGGAUGAACCGAACGCAGGGUUAAGGUGCCAGAGUGCACGCUCAUUAGACACCACAAAAGGUGUUAGUUCAUCCCGACAGCAGGACGGUGGCCAUGGAAGUCGGAAUCCGCUAAGGAGUGUGUAACAACUCACCUGCCGAAUGAACUAGCCCUGAAAAUGGAUGGCGCUGAAGCGUGCCACCUAUACCCUGCCGCCACGGUAGAUUUUUGACAUGAAGCCGU
rnacentral:rRNA from 1 species